UCCCUUGUGGCUCAGACGGUAAAGCGUCUGCCUGCAGUGCGGGAGACCCAGGUUCAAUCCCUGGGUGGGGAA
rnacentral:tRNA from 1 species